UAAAUAAAAACAUUUCUAGCCUAAAGGCAAUUACAUUGGGAAAUUAGAAAAAGAUCAGCCUAAAACCCCCAAUAAUAUAUGAUUGAUCCAAAUAGGUGAGGUAAACCCAUGAAAUUAUCUAGCAAAUCUUAAAGACAGAGGAGACAAGGAGCCUUAUGUUUGUCUCAGACGAAAUAGACAUCGAAGAGUAGUAUGAUGGUGAAGUAGCAAAUACUGUGAUUUGGUCAUCCAUUCAUUCCUUCCGUUAUGAUACAUAGCGUGAUGAGUUAGGGUUGGGGUCUAGAGAGCCAGAAACCAAACAUCGCAGAGGCUGCAACAGACCAGAAGAGGUAGAUUGUACAUUGCCAAGCAAGGAUAACAAUUUUCCGAUGAUGAAUAGGCAUCUGACUGUUAGAUAGCAAUAAUAGUGACGUCCCAGUCUCUUGUAGGAUUAAUCCGGCAUCUACCUGCAACCAAUCGCCAAAAAUCCAAGGAAAAAGAGAAAUCAAAGUAAAGAUGGUCUGACUUUCAGUGGAGGCGUUAUAGAGCAGACACUUUGGAUUGGUUGUAAGGCUCCAAGAGAGUAAAUGAUCUCUAGUUGGGCAGUGAUUCAGCAUGAAAAGCCAACACAUAAAGCUCUGACUCGGAAUACCAAUUGAAUUCCAAAUAGUUUUCUUCUAGAGGACACUUGCUGAUUCCGCAAGCAAGGUAUGAUAAAUCAUCCAUGUUCUGAGUUUUGUAAUUCUUUUACCAUUGAUCUCCAAUUCAUAUUGAUCUGGUUCUUUGCUGAGGAUGAUCGUGGUAAGGUACGCCUGAAGUGAAACCUGAGUUUCUGAUCUGGCUGGCCGGAGGGACCAGCCGCUAUUGAAGAAAAGAGCAGACAAAGUUGCUGUGGAUGAAAUCCCAUUCUUGCAGAUGCGUCAGAGAGGAAUGACCGAAGAUCACCCAUUGGCGACCAAUUAUGCAACCUAAACAACAUACUAAUAGGUUCCUAACUCCCAAUCUUCCUUCUGAUUAAGGUUUAGUAACUGUUUCCCAUGAUGCUAGAGCUGUAUGAUGUCCCUCCAGUGUUUCCUUCCAAAGAAAGGCUCCGCAAAGCGAAUUAAUUGUCGAAAUACAUUUCUUCUUUGGGAGAAGACAUAUUGAUGACCAGAAAUUAGUUAUGCCCGCGAUUACCGAGUUUAGGAGGACGAGUCUACCAGCCAAGAAAGAGAUCUAGCACUUCAAGUCAAUAUUUUACUCUUUACUUGAUGGAUACGCGGUUCACACAGUUAGCCAUGUAUAAUUUUUAGUACAAAGAGGCACUCCCAAAUACCUUAUUGGCAGUGAACCAAGAGAUAGACCAGUGGAGACUGAGAUGGAAUCAAUUUCUGAUGCAUUCAUACCAGAAGCAAAGAAUACAAUCUUGUUAAUGCUAAUGGAGACACCAAAGAGGAGCUCAAAUUACAGAACACCAUUAAGACUCCCUGAACCGAAAGACUCCCACUAGUGAAAAUGAGGAGGUCAUCCAAGCUCAGAUGUGUAAAUUUAGUCUUGGCACACUUUGGAUGAUA